GCCGAUGUAGCUCAAUGGUAGAGCAACCGCUUUGUAAGCGGUGGGUUGGAGGUUCGAGUCCUCUCGUCGGCU
rnacentral:tRNA from 1 species